rnacentral:rRNA from 1 species
UACGAAAGGUGCUAGCGUUGUUCGGAAUUACUGGGCGUAAAGCGCACGUAGGCGGCAUUGUAAGUUGGGGGUGAAAUCCCGGAGCUCAACUCCGGAACUGCCUUCAAGACUGCAGAGCUGGAGGAUGCGAGAGGUUAGUGGAAUUCCGAGUGUAGAGGUGAAUUUCGUAGAUAUUCGGAAGAACACCAGUGGCGAAGGCGGCUCACUGGCGCAUUUCUGACGCUGAGGUGCGAAAGCGUGGGGAGCAAACAGG